AGAGGAUCGAGAGGCCGGCAUCACUGGAGUGGUGGCGCAGCUGUUUCCUCCGGAUAUCCAUCAAAUAUUGAGAAGAAAGAAUAUCAGGAGCAAAGUGUUCUAAGUUGCUGUUCAGAACGUAAAGAUGCGAACCCCAAAUCAGUGGUUUGUUCAUUCUUCAUGCAAGAGCAAUGCACUAAAGGAGAGAAGCAAGCUGUGGUGAUCAGUGACUUUGGUGAAAGCUAA
rnacentral:lncRNA from 10 species